rnacentral:rRNA from 1 species
AUGAACGCUGGCGGCGUGCCUAAUACAUGCAAGUCGAGCGAACAGACGAGGAGCUUGCUCCUCUGACGUUAGCGGCGGACGGGUGAGUAACACGUGGAUAACCUACCUAUAAGACUGGGAUAACUUCGGGAAACCGGAGCUAAUACCGGAUAAUAUAUUGAACCGCAUGGUUCAAUAGUGAAAGACGGUUUUGCUGUCACUUAUAGAUGGAUCCGCGCCGCAUUAGCUAGUUGGUAAGGUAACGGCUUACCAAGGCAACGAUGCGUAGCCGACCUGAGAGGGUGAUCGGCCACACUGGAACUGAGACACGGUCCAGAUUCCUACGGGAGGCAGCAGUAGGGAAUCUUCCGCAAUGGGCGAAAGCCUGACGGAGCAACGCCGCGUGAGUGAUGAAGAUCUUCGGAUCGUAAAACUCUGUUAUUAGGGAAGAACAAAUGUGUAAGUAACUAUGCACGUCUUGACGGUACCUAAUCAGAAAGCCACGGCUAACUACGUG